rnacentral:rRNA from 1 species
UACGAAGGGGGCUAGCGUUGCUCGGAAUCACUGGGCGUAAAGCGCACGUAGGCGGAUUCUUAAGUCAGGGGUGAAAUCCCGGAGCUCAACUCCGGAACUGCCUUUGAUACUGGGAAUCUUGAGUUCGAGAGAGGUGAGUGGAACUGCGAGUGUAGAGGUGAAAUUCGUAGAUAUUCGCAAGAACACCAGUGGCGAAGGCGGCUCACUGGCUCGAUACUGACGCUGAGGUGCGAAAGCGUGGGGAGCAAACAGG